rnacentral:rRNA from 1 species
UACGAAGGGGGCUAGCGUUGUUCGGAAUUACUGGGCGUAAAGCGUGCGCAGGCGGCUUCUCAAGUCAGGGGUGAAAGCCCAGAGCUCAACUCUGGAAUUGCCUUUGAGACUGAGUGGCUUGAGUACGGGAGAGGUGAGUGGAAUUCCCCAGUGUAGAGGUGAAAUUCGUAGAUAUUGGGAAGAACACCGGUGGCGAAGGCGGCUCACUGGCUCGUAACUGACGCUCAUGCACGACAGCGUGGGGAUCAAACAGG